rnacentral:rRNA from 1 species
AACGAACGCUGGCGGCAGGCCUAACACAUGCAAGUCGAACGCGCGUAGCAAUACGCGAGUGGCGCACGGGUGAGCAACACGUGGGAACCAACCCAGAGGUUCGGAAUAACCGCGGGAAACUGCGGCUAAUACCGGAUAUCCCCUACGGGGGAAAGAUUUAUCGCCUCUGGACGGGCCCGCGUCCGAUUAGCUAGUUGGUGAGGUAAUGGCUCACCAAGGCGACGAUCGGUAGCUGGUCUGAGAGGACGACCAGCCACACUGGAACUGAGACACGGUCCAGACUCCUACGGGAGGCAGCAGUGGGGAAUAUUGGGCAAUGGAGGCAACUCUGACCCAGCCAUGCCGCGUGGGUGACGAAGGUCUUCGGAUUGUAAAGCCCUUUCGGCGGGACGAUGAUGACGGUACCCGCAGAAGAAGCCCCGGCUAACUUCGUG